rnacentral:tRNA from 1 species
GCCAGUGUGGCAUAGUGGUUUGAGCGUUUGACCAGGACUCUGGAGACCAGGGUUUGAUUCCCAGUUCUGCCA